AAAUCAUUCAAGUUUCUGACCUAUCAGCUUUCGACGGUAUGGUAUUGGCUUACCGUGGCAGUGACGGUUAACGGGGGAUUAGGGUUCGAUUCCGGAGAGGGAGCCUGAGAAACGGCUACCACAUCUAAGGAAGGCAGCAGGCGCGCAAAUUACCCAAUUCUAACAGUUUGAGAGAGGUAGUAACAAGAAAUAACAAUACAAGGCAAUUAAAAUGNUUUGUAAUUGGAAUGAUAGAAAUUUAAACCCUUUUUAAAGUAUCAAUUGGAGGGCAAGUCUGGUGCCAGCAGCCGCGGUAAUUCCAGCUCCAAUAGCGUAUAUUAAAAUUGUUGCAGUUAAAAAGCUCGUAGUUGAAGUUCUGCUAAAAGUAACCGGUCUGCUUUUAAUAAAAGUGGUAUCUUGGUGUGUAUUUAGCAAUGAUGUCCUUUGAAGUGUUUUUUACUUUAUUGUAAUAAAGCAUAUUCAGGACUUUUACUUUGAGAAAAUUAGAGUGUUUCUAGCAGGCNGACGCUUUGAAUACUGCAGCAUGGAAUAAUAAGA
rnacentral:rRNA from 1 species